AAUAAAUUAACGGGUAUGAAAAGUCAUGAUUGUCAUGUCUUUAUGCAACGAUUGCUUCCAAUAGCAUUUGCAGAACUACUUCCACAACAUGUACACGAGAGUCUAUCAGGGAUCAGCUCAUUUUUUCGGGUGAUUUGCAGUCGGACGCUUAAACUUGAAGAUAUCACCAUGCUGAAACAAAACAUAGUUCUCGUAAUUUGCAAUCUGGAAAAAAUAUUUCCACCGUCAUUUUUUGAUGUGAUGGAACAUUUACCAAUCCAUCUACCACGAGAAGCAGAACUUGGUGGACCAGUUCAAUUUCGGUGGAUGUACCCGUUUGAAAGAUUUAUGUACCAUUUGAAGAAAAAGGCAAAACAAAAAGCCUUUGUUGAAGGAUCAAUUGCUG